rnacentral:tRNA from 1 species
GCCUGGGUGGCUCAGCAGCUGAGCGUCUGCCUUUGGCUCAGGAGUUCUGGGAUCAAGUCCCACAUCGGGCU